rnacentral:lncRNA from 1 species
CUCACACAAAUACCAACAUAACACGGUUUUGGUUCUCAUGGUUAUGUUCAUUAUGGUCGUGAACAUCUCUUGGUUCUGCAAGAAUUUAAGAGAACUAAACUCAUUAGUUUUCCUUGAAGCGACCCCACUUCAUUCUCACAUAGGUGAUUUUAUCUUUUUGUUCAGAUUACUGACACACAAGAAUCAUUAAAAGCAUAGCUUAACCUUAUCCGAUUUCAUAUCAUUGUUUACAGAUAAGGGUUAGACCCCCUACAAUGAUAAUACAUUGUCUAUGCAAUUAGGUUGUCCCAUUGAACCUAGAUUCUGGGAUCUCCAGUCAACAAGGUUGGGUUUUCCUUCACAUAGAACCUUUAAAUAUUUAUG